AAGAGUGCUGUGAUGAUACAAUAUUUGUGGACUAGAGUUUCUGAUCUGGGUUUUCCCAGAAGUUGAAGACUAACCCUUGGCUGUCUGAGCACCUU